CCUCUGUGUCAUUGUUUGCUGAAAGAUGUGCGCUCGUUCUGAACACACGUCGAUUACUUUUAUAAUUUGCUUCCUGACCUAUAAUUUCGUGAGCUCCCACACUUGUUCCAAGCAAUUGUAUAUUUAUAUUUGGCCCCCCCUAGUCAGGGUAACCUGUUUAAUAUACUUUGAAACUACAUCACAUAUCUGCUGAAGAGGCAAUUUCGUACAUACCCGAUGCGUUUCCCCCUUCCCCACAGGUACUUCUUGCAUACGUCGAGAGUAAACUUCCUUUAGGUGCUUCGAAUUCGUAGCGGGUAGGUGUAUAUCUACAUCUUGUUGCGGAGGAAAUGUUAAACGCGACAGGUUGGCACUUCCAGUUAUUGCGCGGCUAUCUAAUUUUUUUUCUUCUGACAGAUGCAUUCAACAAGACUAUAGAAGCCAUUACAAUAUUUUUUUUCCAAACGCGCGCCUUUAGAUACUUGUAUUAUGUGAGCCGUGGUUAUUUCAUUCUUUCUAGGAUUUAUAGAUGCGGCAGAUAGCAGUUGAUUUACUAUUGUUGAGCGGUUUGUCUCCUUACGUUUACAGACACGCUGUCGAAAUCCUGUACCGCAUGCCCCGGCCAGACUUUGUGUGCACCGACAGACAGAAUAUCCUGACGUCCAAUUGGAAAAGCUGAACCCACGCUGCCACAAAUCUUGAAGGCGCUCGGUCUAGCGAAGAGAAGCACCAAGUUCCCGUCCCAUUUCAAGCAGCGCCAAGCCAAGAAAUUCGCCUUAAGUAUUAUAUGCCUGACAAUUUUAAGACAAGUUUCACUUUAAUGGGGUUUCAAAGUGACUCUUGCAAAUUCGAAAAAACGCAAUGGGAGAAUACGGCUUCCCUGUAAGAAGACUCGAAUAGCGGUGGAACCGUAUGCAAAGCUGCGAGCUCGUGCUCGCAAAUGUCGCUAUUUAUUCCUGUCCCAGCAAAACGGGCUAAACGGUGCACAAAAACUUUUAUGAUCUCAAGAGUUGUACCCUCCAGUCAUGUAAGUGAUGGGAGAGAGGUAAGAGGUAAGUAUAUAUAAACGAGUUCAAUGUUUAAUAACAAGAACUCACAAGAAGCCAGCAGCGCAAACUCGACACAGCCAACAAACAUGACAAAAAAUUAUCAAUUCAAGUAAACGUUUUCACCCAUGUGAAACUUCGAUCUCGUGAUAGGUAACACAGACAGGUACACGCAUUUCUGGAAUUUGUUGCGAGAUAUAUGAAUGCUAACAUAGGCGCGAUGUCCGGCCUAAGCGGCCACCGUGGGAAAACUUCUGAUAAACUCUGGGCUGCAGCCUCACAAAGGAAAUUAACGUUUUAGCGUUUUCAACAUUCUCGUAGGCCAUACGU